ACAUGAGUUUUUCUGCAAAUCAUUGCCACGUAAUCAAGCAGCUCCUGAAUUUCAUAAAGUUAAACAUUAAGUUUAGCAUCUAGAAACACUUAAUUUGUAAUUAAAAUACCCAGAUAUGAAGUGUAGAUAUUUAUUUCAUUUGGUUUCUACGAAUUAAGUUUCAAUUUGAUAGCUUGAAAAAAAAAAGAAGCGACACCUCAAUGAAACGGGAAUUUUCUCUUACUGCUGACAGUAUAAAAACAGAUUCCUUAUAUAAUUGACAAUACACAUUAAGAAGUGUUAAUCUUCAUUCUAGGGACAAGAUUUCAACUAUCAAUAUAUAUAUAUAUAUAUAUACGUCUUUAUCAAUUAAUGGUUGUUUCAAUAUUGAAAAAGCAAACAUAUUUAUAACUCCAAUUAGUUUUAGUUCAUCUGGCAUUUCAUUUGAGAAAACAAAAUCACUAUUUCUGAUCGGAAAACAAAUUGUUAAACAAGACAAUGUUGACUUGCAAGAGCUGCGCUCUUCUAGUGUUACUAUUCACAUUUCUUCCAGGUGUUUCUGCAGAGCUUACGGAUGGUGAGAUUGUUGGAAUAGCGUUUGGCUGCCUCGGUUUCUUUGUUCUUCUGAUAGUGUGCCUAUGCUGCUGUUGCGGUUACGGGGGCGCCAAGUGGGAGAAGUUUAAAAUGUGUUGCAAUCAGAGUUAAUCUUGUUUUCGAUAAUAAAGAGAAAAUAAAUAUUGGAAACAAAAUGUUUUUGUUUGAUUCAAUUGGUGUGUAGUUGACAACAACUAUUCUGUCUGUCUGUCUGUCUGUCUGUCUGUCUCUCUCUCUCUCUUUACAUAUAUUUAUCUAUCUGUCAUUUAAUCACUGUGUGUCUUUCCAUCAGCCUCAAUAACUCUCUUUCUCUUUCUUCCCAUCUCUCUAUGUAUUCUUCUGUCUCUGUUUUGUAUUUGUCUCUCUGUCACUGUCUAUCUCUCUCAGUCUCACCAUCUCUGUCACUGUCUAUCUAAUUCAGUCUCUAUAUCUCUGUCACAGUCUAUCUCUCUCAGUCUCACUAUCUCUUUCACAGUCUAUCUCUCUCAGUCUCACUAUCUCUUUCACAGUCUAUAUCUCCCAGUCUCACUAUCUGUGUCACUGUCUAUCUCUCUCAGUCUCACUAUCUCUUUCACAGUCUAUCUCUCUCAGUCUCACUAUCUCUUUCACAGUCUAUCUCUCUCAGUCUCACUAUCUCUGUCACUUUGCCUAUCUCUCUCAGUCUCACUAUCUCUGUCACUUUGCCUAUCUCUCUCAGUCUCACUAUCUCUGUCACUUUGACUAUCUCUCUGUCUCACUAUGUCUGUCACUUAGGAAGAAAUACCUGUAGCCAUUGCAAUAAAAACAUUUGUUUUACGUACGAACCAUCGGCACGUCAUUGAACAGUUUGCAAAUGAUAAUUUAAAAACAAAAAAAAAAAUCUAAAACAACUUAUUGUAUUUAUAUAAAAAGUAAAUAUCAAGUGCAUAUAUUGGACAUUGAAUCUCCGAAGUGCAUUUCAGUUUUGAGCUAGUGAAAUAUACAACACCUCAUAUUAACGGGAAUUUACCUUUUACUUCUGUCGGUAUAAAAACAGGUACCUGAAAUUAUUGAUAACAUUUCUGGACAAGUUUUAAUAUUCACCCCUAAGCAAAGAUUACAAAUAUACAAGCCUAUAUUACCUUGUGUGGUUUUAUUUUUAAACAACUAUAAAACUUGAUAAUUAAUUAUAAUUAUUAUUUAUCAGUUUUUUAUGUGAGAAAAGGGAAUUGAUGUUUUGAGUUGGAAAAGCUAAUUUGUUAAACACGACAAUGACUUGCAAGUGCCUUGUUCUCCUUUUGUUACUGGCGCUUCUUCCUUGUGUUUCUGCAGGUCUUACUGGUGGUGAAAUCGCUGGAAUAAUUGUGGGCUCCAUCGUAGCUGGGAUUGGUGUACUAGUUUUGGUACUUUUUUUGUGCUUCCGCUACACUCGUUACGGACGUGCCAAAUGGGAGAAGAUAAAAAUGUGCAUGAAUCAGUGUUGUUGUUGAAGUUAAUGAAUAAACAAAAAUUAGCUGUAAAA